AGAGUUUGAUCCUGGCUCAGGAUGAACGCUGGCGGCGUGCCUAAUACAUGCAAGUCGAACGGAGAUAUUGUAGCAAUACGGUAUCUUAGUGGCGAACGGGUGAGUAACGCGUUGGUGACCUGCCCCGAAAAGGGGGAUAACAGUCCGAAAGGAUUGCUAAUACCCCAUACGGUCAUGGAGUUUAGAAGUCCAUGACCAAAGGCGAAAGUCGUUUCGGGAGGGGCCUGCGUCCCGUCAGCUAGUUGGUAAGGUAACGGCUUACCAAGGCUACGACGGGUAGGGGACCUGAGAGGGUGGCCCCCCACAAUGGAACUGAAACACGGUCCAUACACCUACGGGUGGCAGCAGUAGGGAAUAUUAGUUAAUGUGCGAAAGCGCGAACUAGCAACGCCGCGUGUGCGAUGAAGGUCUUCGGAUCGUAAAGCACUUUUCGAGAAGAUGAGGAUGACAGUACUCUCGGAAUAAGUCUCGGCUAACUACGUGCCAGCAGCCGCGGUAAAACGUAGGAGGCAAGCGUUAUCCGGAUUUACUGGGCGUAAAGCGCGUGCAGGCGGUUUAACAAGUUGGAUGUGAAAGCUCCUGGCUUAACUAGGAGAGGUCGUUCAAAACUGUUAGACUAGAGGGCGGUAGAGGGAGGUGGAAUUCCGUGUGUAGUGGUGAAAUGCGUAGAUAUACGGAGGAACACCAGUGGCGAAAGCGGCCUCCUGGACCGAUCCUGACGCUCAGACGCGAAAGCUAGGGGAGCAAACGGGAUUAGAGACCCCGGUAGUCCUAGCUGUAAACGAUGUGAACUUGGCGUCGGUGGGUUUAAAUCCAUCGGUGCCGUAGCUAACGCGAUAAGUUCACCGCCUGGGGACUACGGCCGCAAGGUUAAAACUCAAAGGAAUUGACGGGGCCCCGCACAAGCAGCGGAGCGUGUGGUUUAAUUCGAUUUACACGAAGAACCUUACCAGGGUUUGACAUACAAGUAGUAGGGAUCCGAAAGGUGACCGACCCCUCGGGGAGCUUGUACAGGUGUUGCAUGGCUGUCGUCAGCUCGUGUCGUGAGAUGUUCGGUUAAGUCCGCUAACGAGCGCAACCCUCACUAUGUGUUAUAUGUGUCACAUGGGACUGCCGGUGUCAAGCCGGAGGAAGGUGGGGAUGACGUCAAGUCAGCAUGGCCUUUAUAUCCUGGGCUACACACACGCUACAAUGGUCGGUACAAUGGUCGCUAAGCCGCGACGUGGAGCCAAUCCACAAAGCCGAUCUCAGUUCAGAUCGCAGGCUGCAACUCGCCUACGUGAAGAUGGAGUUGCUAGUAAACGCAGGUCAGCUAUACUGCGUUGAAUACGUUCCCGGGGCUUGUACACACCGCCCGUCACGUCAUGGGAGCUGGCAGCACCUGAAGCCGGUAUCCUAACCCGCAAGGGAGGGAGCCGUCGAGGGUGGGGUUGGUGACUGGGACGAAGUCGUAACAAGGUA
rnacentral:rRNA from 1 species